rnacentral:rRNA from 1 species
GAUGAACGCUGGCGGCGUGCCUAAUACAUGCAAGUCGAGCGAACGGACGAUAAGCUUGCUUCUCUGAUGUUAGCGGCGGACGUGUGAGUAACACGUGGAUAACCUACCUAUAAGACUGGGAUAACUUCGGGAAACCGUAGCUAAUACCGUAUAAUAUUUUGAUCCGCAUGGUUCAAUAGUGAAAGACGGUCUUGCUGUCACUUAUAGAUAGAUCCGCGCUGCAUUAGCUAGUUGGUAAGGUAACGGCUUACCAAGGAAACGAUGCAUAGCCGACCUGGGAGGGGGAUCGGCCACACUGGAACGGGAACACGGUCCAGAGUCCUAAGGGAGGCAGCAGAAGGGAAUCUUCGGCAUUGGGGGAAAGCCUGACGGAGCAACGCCGCGUGAGUGAGGAAGGUCUUCGGUUCGUAAAACUCGGUUAUUAGGGAAGAACAGAUGUGUAAUUAAAUGUGCACAUCUUGACGGUACCUAAUCAGAAAGCCACGGCUAACUACGUG